CUGGUUGUGCAAACUUGACUGUAAUAAGUAUUUUGAGAGCACACAUUUUUAUUGGUUGGUUAAAGAUACAUCACCCCUAUGGAGAAUUGAAAUAUGAUUUGCUCAAUCAUCGUUUUUCCUUUUUCUUAAUUUUCAAGUCUCAUGAGUCUCCAAAUCAUAGCAUCUGCAACCAUUUUUCUGUGCAAAGGGCUCCGUGAAGUGCCUAAGCAUGGUCUUCUUUAAGCCUCGACAUGACCCUGUGAUACAGGCAGUAGGUGCUGUUACAUCCGUCGUAAAGAUGAGAAGCUGAGAAUCAGAGAGAUUAGUGCUCUUUCCUGAGGUCACAGAGAGCAAGUGGAGGGGAACAGGACUCUUCCUGCUGCAUCUUUUGGCCCUUCGCAUCCUGCGCUGUCCAGGUGAGAGUCAGCACUCCACAGGUGAGGGACAUUGGAAUGGAGGUGGCAAGAGUACCCUGCAGAGGUCGGAAAAGCUGAAAACCAUCUCACUCAGAAGUUCCAGGACUUGAUGGAGUCAGUGAGCCAGAACAAAUGCUCAAUCAUCUCUCGGAGGAAAGAUGAGCUGGAAUGCCAGUGAGAUCUGAGAGAUGGUCUUCGGGGGAAGCUGCCUACGUCUUUGUAUGGAACCUCCAGCUUUGAAACAGCCUCAGGGAAGAAUCUUAUAAAAGCUGCAAGCUAAGCACAAGCUUAGAAAGACAUGUGGGCACUGGUAGUUGAGUGAGGAGAAAUUCUCCACUUUGCUUAUCUGGAACUUGUUUUGAAUGAGCAAAUGGAAAUUUGGGGAUUUUAAGGCUAGUUUUCUAGGCUUCGUUAAUAUUUCUCAUAAGUCAAAUUCUCUGCCAUGGUUAUUGGGUUUAAGUGAAAUUCUAAAUUUCUUUACUUUCUUUUUUUUUUUGAAAUGGAGUUUCACUCUUGUUGCCCAGGCUGGAAUGCAGUGGCACUACCUCAGCUCACUGCAACUUCUGCCUUUUGGGUUCAAGCGAUUUUCCUGCCUCAGCCUGCUGAGUAGCUGGGACUGCAGGCCUGCACCACUGUACCCAGCUAAUUUUUGUGUUUUUAGUAGAGAUGGGGUUUCAUCAUGUUGGCCAGGCUGGUCUCGAGCUCCUGACCUCAAGCGAUCCACCCACCUUGGUCCCCCAAAGUGCUGGGAUUACAGGCGUGAGCCACCAUGCCCGGCUGAAAUUCUAAAUUUCUAAUGCCCACUGCCUUUCAAUGACCCGGAUUAAAUGGGACUCUCAAAAGAAAUGGCUUUUUGUUGAGUAUUGCCAUCAGAGAACCCGGGUUUCUGCAGUUUCCUUUUAUCCUGUGAGAAAGAUGCUAGUGAUUCUUUACUUUUGAACAAGCAUGAUUGAAUAGCCUGUUUUAGUUACUGUAACAAUGCUGUGUAGCAAUUGUAUUAUUUGGAAAUAAU
rnacentral:lncRNA from 10 species